CAGGGACCAAUCAUUCAGGACGCCUCGAUGUGUGCGCUAGAGAAUCAUAGCGUCGACUCCAAGUUUUAGCUGCUGAGUUUGUAUCGACAACAAUCUGUGGUGAAUCUUAGUAUUAAUGGAUAUUUUUGAGGGUAUGAUUCUUACCCAUACUACUGUACCUUACUUAUGCUCUGACAUCGCGUGUGAAAUGGGUUCACUCCC